UAAAUGUCCACUUGAAGCUUGUGUGUAGCAGGAUGCAUCUCCACUGAGCAUCAGUGUUGAGAGGGGAGAACUCAGGAGGUCUACCUUCCCACCCUUGCAUGACUCCCCAAAAAGGAAAAGAAAAGGGAAGGAAAGAAAACCCUCACCAAAUCCAGUUUUGCUGCCCAUAUACUCAUUGGAGCAUGUCCAAACCGCCAGUGACCAGCCACUCAAAGAAGCCUGAGCCCUUUCCCACCAGCAUCAUCCCCACCAAAGCCAUCAACUGGGAAGAACUACACUUGCGCAUCUUUAUCACAGUUUUUAAGGACUCUCUUCAAUAAUUUCAUGUCUGGACUGUUUCUUCCCCUUUUUAGGAGGGGCCGGACAGGUUGGCACAGAAGCCUUCAAUGUCUUUCAAUCUCAGUUAAGAGUCUGCAGUCAUUGAUACCACUGCAAAAGAAGCUUCCCCACCCAUAGCUGCCAGUGGCUGCAGAAAAUCAUGGAUAUCAACAUGUUUCCCUCAGCAUCAUGAAUCAUGGAAAGCUUUCAAGGAGGCUUAACUCAGAAAAUGAACCAUUCUUCAUCUUGGAUAUCUUACUGUUCAGAGUCAAGUGAUCAUGCAGUUGGGCAGCGUGUUUGGGGGCAGUAUUGCUCAAGCUCCAGGCUUUGCAUGCUGGUGACCUUGCCCUCACCUUCAGUGGCCAUGCUAGUACACUGGGCAAGAACCAUGACAACCAUUGUGUUUGCAGCUUGUUGGCCCAUACCUGUCUCUGCUGCCACAUUUCUAGUCAGCUUCUCUCCAUUGUGUGGACUGCUCUAUUUUGACAUUUUUUUUUUCCUCAGGUUGGGAGGGAUUUUAAAAACAUAGUUGGGCAGGUUCCAUUAGUCACCACACCUUGCCCAUCUCCAAAGCCUCCUAAGCCUCAGAGCUCUGUGUGUUUCCCACGUGUCUGUUGUUAUACAGCUUGGGAUAAAGUCAUUAAUCCUCUUCUUUGGGUUAAACAUGAUGACGUAGAUGCAGAAGUGACCCAUUUUACACCAAGAUACACUCAACACCUCAAAGGACCACUGCAAACACCCAAUUCCAAGCCUGUCACCCUGUGGAUUAUGGCAUGGUUUCUGGGGGUGAAUUGUGGGGAAACACUCAUCACACGACAUCCCGCAUCAUCAAUAGACCAUCUCAGGCAGAGAGUGAGAGUGUUCCACACUGCUGCAUAAAUGCCACAGAUUUAACAGUGUCCUAGCUAGCGGCUCUUCUGGUGCGCGAUGACUUCCAAAGAAAUUGCCUAGCUCAGUGUGUCUUCAGCCAUAUCCUCUACUUGGCCGUGCAGAUGUGCGGUUGUAUGAGCCACCCUGUGAGGCGGUAGAGAGCAAAGCCUUGGCUUGAUAUCGUUCCCAGUCUUUACUAUUCUAUUUUGAUUGCACAAAGUGCUUACUACAUAUCGGUUGAACUGACUUGAAUGAGUUCAUUCAUACACAGAGUGAAGUCUUGAUAGCACUGGGCAUAUUCCAAGUGGAUUACAAAGGCAAUGCAAAGGGAGAUUGUUUUAAUCAGGGACAUUACAUAAACGAACACUAGUUAUUAUCAAGGCUUAACACGAUGAGGGGUUACUUUGCCAGGACACCACUGGGCGAAGGGUUCCAGACUGGCUUUCUUCCUGUGUCUAGGCUGCUUCACUGCAGCGGCCACAGUAAUCCCAGACAGAGGUCCCUGCCAAGCCAUAUGGAUUAUUAAUGCUUGAUCCUCAGUUACUGCUGUAGCAGCUCCACCUUAUCUGAGAGUUUGCUUUUUUGAAGUUUUAGUUACCAGAAGUCAGUCUCAGGCCAAAAGCUCUGAAUGCCAAAGGUACUCCACAGGUUUAACUGUGCACUGUUUUGAGUAUGGUGAAGUCCUGUUACCCUGCUGUGUCCUACCUGGGAGGUGAAUCAGCCCUUUUGUCCAGUAUGUCCAUAGUGUAUUAGCUAAGCACAUGUCAUUCACUUGCUGCUCAUCUCAGUUAUCAGGUAAUUGCUGUAGGGUCAGUAAUGCAUACGUGCAUUCCUAAACCCCUGGGCAGCAGCCUACAUUCACCCCUAUGUUUCCUCAGGUAGGCACUUCGUUAUCUGGAAUUGUAAGCACAAGAGGAUAUGUUUGUGUGUGUUUGUGUAUGUGUGUGUGUGUAAUGUGUAAAGAUCAUAUACUAUCCUAUA